rnacentral:rRNA from 1 species
GUGGGGAAUAUUCCGCAAUGGACGAAAGUCUGACGGAGCAACGCCGCGUGAGUGAUGAAGGUUUUCGGACUGUAAAGCUCUGUUGUUUAGGACGAAAGUGCCUGUUGCAAAUAGUUACAGGUAUUGACGGUACUGAACGAGGAAGCCACGGCUAACUACGUGCCAGCAGCCGCGGUAAUACGUAGGUGGCAAGCGUUGUCCGGAAUUAUUGGGCGUAAAGAGCAUGUAGGCGGGAAUCUAAGUCUGUUGUGAAAAUGCGGGGCUCAACCCCGUAUUGCGAUGGAAACUGGGUUUCUUGAGUGCAGGAGAGGAAAGGGGAAUUCCCAGUGUAGCGGUGAAAUGCGUAGAUAUUGGGAGGAACACCAGUGGCGAAGGCGCCUUUCUGGACGAAAACUGACGCUGAGGCGCGAAAGCCAGGGGAGCGAACGGGAUUAGAUACCCUAGUAGUCC